GCCAUGGCCAUGGCGGGAGGUAGUUGAGGCGGUAGUGUAAGUUUUGUUUUUUUGAGGGGUGGGAGGUAGGAAGGGAUGGGUGGCAGGGGUAAAAUGGCUUGGGAAGAGCUUCCUGCUGAUUUGAGUUUGAGUGUGAGGUUGUUGGAGUGGCGUGAAAUGUGUAGGACUACCCUGAAAGAUCUCAUGACCGGACCAUGUACAGGAGGACCACCCCCUGGAAAGGACGAUCUGAAGGAUCAAACGACCAGACCAUCUUCAGGAGGACCACCCCCUGGAGGACGAUCCGGAGGACGACCUGAUGGAUCCCUCGACUGAAUCAUCUACAGGAGGUAUUUGUCUGUGAAAUAUUUCUUAGAACUUUAGACAUUCAUUAUUGUAGUAAAAUUAGAAAAAUGUAUUGGUGGGGUGGGUCUAGGUUCAAUGUAAGUUUUUUUUUUUGCAUUUAAGUGAAAAGAGAAAAAGAUAAAAUGUAGUUCUUUCCUUUUAAAUCAGUAGUGAACAAUAUUAUGGAAAUCUUAAACAUUUCCUGAAUUAGAAAAAACUAUAGAUGAAAGAAGAUAUUCUUAAUUGACUUACGUCUUUAUCACCAGGACCACCCCCUAGAGAGGAUGAUCCGAAGGAUCCAAUGAUCGGACCAUCUUCAGGAGGUAGUCACUGAAAUAUGUCUUGGAACAUAAUUUGUCCUUUUUUACUUCACUAAGUUUAGUAUCUUUAGAAAAAUAUCUCUUGAUGAGACUUUGGUACAAUGUAAAAGUUUUAUUUUUGCACUUCGGUGAAAAAUGAAAAUUGUAAAACGUAUUUAACAGAUUUUUGUAAAUGCACUUCUGAAACUGACACAUGUCUUCAUCACCAGGACUAUCCCCUGGAGGACGACCCGAUGAAUCUCACGACCGGACCAUUUACAGGAGGUAUUUGUGAAAUAUGUUUAUUCAGUAAAAUUGGAAAAAUACAUACUCUUGGGACUGAGUUCGAUGCAAAAGUUUUAUUUUUGCGCUAAGAUGAACAAACAAUUGGUAAAAUGUAGUUAUUGACAGAUUUUUAAAAAUAUCCUCCUUUCUUUUUAAACCAUAAGUAAACAAUAUUAUGGCGACUCUAUUUUGUUUUCAUAAACAAAAGAAAGUGUGUAGAUGAAAGUGGAUAUUCUUAAUUAUAUAUAUCUUCAUUACCAGGACCACCCCCAGGAGAGGAGGUCGACCUGAAAGAUCCUAUAACCGGACCAUCUUCAGAAGGUAUUUAAAAAAGUCAACUCUUGGAACGUUAUUUGUUUCAUUAUUUCAGUUAUUUAAACGGGAUACCUAGCCGUGCUGGUUGGGUUCCGUUAAAUUAAGUUUUAUUUUUGCACUUAAAUGGAAAGAGAAAAUGAUUUAAUAUAUUUCUUUCCUUUUAAAUCAGUAGUAUAAACGUUUUUAUGGCAACUCUUUAUUUUCUGAAAUAGAAAGAAAAAAAACUAGAUGAAAGGAGAUAUUCUUAACACACAUCUUCAUCACCAGGACCUCCACCUGGAGAGGAGGACGACCCCUGGGAUCCCACGACUGGACCAUCUUCAGCAGGUAUUUGUCAUUGAAAUAUCUUUUGGAACAUUAUUUCCCCAUUUUUUUCUAUAAAAUUAGAAAAAGUACCUAUUUGUGGUAGUGAGUCCAAUGUAAAAGAUUUAUUUUUGCACUUUGGUGAAAAAUAAAAAUGUGAAAAUGUAUUUACCUACAGAUUUAUAUAAAUGAGCUCCUUUCCUUUUAAACCAAAAUAAACAAUACUGUUGCGAUUCUUUGUUCUCUAAAACAAAAGAACAGUGUUUAGAUUCAAGUGGACACUUUUAAUUGACACGUCUUCAUCACCAGGUCCACCCCUUGGAGAGGACGACCUGAAGGAUCCUAAGACCAGACCAUCUUCCGAAGGUAAUUGUCAUUGGAAUAUCUCUUUGAACAUUAUUUGUCCAUUUCUUCAUCACUAAUUUUAGUACCAUUAGAAAAAUGUAUAUUCGUAUAAUUUCAUUCAAGGUAAGUUUUAUUUUUGCACUUUGGUGAAAAAUGUAAAUGGUAAAACAUAUGUACUAACAGAUUUUUGUAAAAUUUCUUCUUAAACAAACACAUUUUCAUCACCAGGACCACUCCCUGGAAGACGAUCCGGAGGACGACCUGAUGGAUCCCACGACCGGACCAUCGACAGGAGGUAUUUGUCUGUGAAAUAUGUCUUGAAACAUUAUUUAUUAUUUCAAUAACAUUUGUAAAAUACCCACUGGUUCAAUGCAAAAGUUACAUUUUUGCACUUAGGUGAAAAAAGAAAGUAAAACGUAUUUACUGACAAAUUUUUAUAGAUAUCCCCCUUCCCUUUUAAACCAUAAGUAAAAAACAUUAUAGCGAUUCUUUUUGUUUUCUAAAACAACAAAAAAAAUUUGUGUAGAUGAAAGUUGAUACUUUUAAUAAACACACGUGUUCAUCACCAGGACAACCCCCUGGAGAGGAGGAUGACCUGACGAUCCUACGAUCGGACCAUCAUCAGGAGGACGUACGUCUGGAGUGGAGGAUGACCCACAAGAUCCCAGGACCGGACCAUCUUUAGGGCCUCCACCUGAAGAGGAGGGCAACCCGGAGGACUACCCCGGAAGAUCCCACAACCGGACCAUCUUCAGGAGACGGCCGGAACUUUGGUGACAUCAGACGGUCUCUUCACUUUUCUGGUCCAACAAGUAUCAUAAUGGUCUGUGGCUACGUUUUCCACAUAUCACACUCAGGCUUAAAUUGAUGCAGUGGGGCAGUAGAGAUAUCCAGAUAGGUUGAUAGGGAGCUAGGUGGUUAGGCUAGGUUCAGAGUAGGAUUUCGUAG